UCAUUUUUUACAUAAGACCUAUAUCAUACAUCUAUAAAAGAUCCAAAUGCAUGAUUAUUCUGGUCACAAUUUCGUCAUAGAAAAUUCAGAUAUUCUAUAUAGGACUCACCAGAGUCAUAGGAGUUAUAGGAAUCAUUGGAAACUCCGACUGCCAUGAUAUACAGGGGUCCGUGUACCUUCCGUUCAUUUUAUUUCUAAUUCUGAAACGCAAAUCGAAAAACAAAUUUAGGGCCAUUUUUUCUUUUGUCAUUUCUGAAACAAAAAUCGGACAACUAUUUAAUGAUCCGUUUUUUGGUCCGUGUACGGAUCUGGUAAUUGGAUUUUCCGUUCUGAAACGGGUAUUGAAAAACAAAAAAAAACGAGUGGUUAUUUGAUUUUCGUUUUAAAAUACAAAAAUUUAAAUUGAAAUACAAGGCGUUUUUCCGUUUCAUGAUCAAAAAGGGAAAUACUAUUUUUUUUAUGCUUUGAUUUUCGUUUUAUAUUUACAAUAAAAAGAAAGUAAAAUCAGUAAGAGACAGAAACGAAAAAAUGUCCGUUUUUUCAUUUUCUGAGACCGGAAGUGGUCAUCAGCAAGUGUGGAGCCAGAGUACGGUGCAUAGACUGUAUAUACAUUUUUUUUUCGUGAGUUUUCAUGGUCAAAAUAAGAGAUCAGGUGGCCGAUCUUAAAAUAAAUCAAUAUUGAUUUUUUUUAUAGAGCGUUAAAGUUUUGCGAAGCCAGGGGGCGGGACUACUUGAUUGACAGUGCGGUCUGGAAUGAUUGACAGGUCCUAUGGAGGAGGCAGCAGAGACUCUGUUCUCCUCGUUUGGAUUAAUUCUGACAUAAUAACUGUUGGUUUAUUUAACGGUGGAGCAGCGGAACAUUUUCCACAGACAGUUUUCCUGCCCGUUGGCUUGUUUUAACCAGUUUUUUUUUUUUUUUACCUUCGGCUGAUUCUACCAGCAGACACUGAAAGGACUCUGAUAGUUCGAGUGAAAGUAGCAAUUCCUCCUUAAGGUCAGAGAUUGCAGCAUCUGAGGGCCUCUUCAAAAGAAGACGUAGUUGAUGAAGGCGUUCUGGAGCAGGACCAGAAAGACCACGACCAAGCAGCCUUGAGAUCUUAGGCAGCGUCUCCCUCAGGUCCCUCUCUAUCUCCCCACACAUCCACCAACCACUGGAACACAUCUCCAAAGUUCUGCCGGGCCAGCUCAGCUUCCCCUCAGAAGAAGUGCCGCCACCUGCCAGAUGAAGGAGCCUUUUGAGAGGCAGCUGGCAUCGUGAUUGGACUGUACUUUGGUCUGUUCCAGUCCAGCUUCAGCUCCAGAGACGGCAGGCGGGACGAGUCAACGGAGGCCGGGUGGACGAAGGCAUGCAGCUGAGUCGAAAAAAAAAUGCGAUUUUUUUCAACAUGUUGUAAAAACGUGCCAUAUGAUGAAAUAAUGUAAAGGAGGCUGUGAAAAACACUAUGGUAAGGUUCUCUUUGAAAAAAAAAAUCAUCAUGAAUUUUGGCGCAAAAAAACACCAUAGUAUACUAUGUCGAAAAAAAUGUCAUUUUUCAACAUGUUGUAAAAACGUGCCAUAUGAUGAAAUAAUGUAAAGGAGGCCGUGAAAAACACUAGAAAGGUUUUCUUUGAAAAAAAAAUCAUCAUGAAUUUUGGCGCAAAAAAACGCCAUAGUAUACUAUGUCGAAAAAAAAAUGUGAUUUUUCAACAUGUUGUAAAAACGUGCCAUAUGAUGAAAUAAUGUAAAGGAGGCUGUGAAAAACACUCCAGAAAGGUUUUCUUUGAAAAAAAAUCAUCAUGAAUUUUGGCGCAAAAAAACGCCAUAGUAUACUAUGUCGAAAAAAAAUGCGAUUUUUCAACAUGUUGUAAAAACGUGCCAUAUGAUGAAAUAAUGUAAAGGAGGCCGUG